UACAGGGGGUGCAAACGUUGCUCGGAAUUAUUGGGCGUAAAGCGCGCGUAGGCGGCCACUUAAGUCGGAUGUGAAAGCCCCUGGCUCAACUGGGGAAGUGCACCCGAAACUGAAUGGCUUGAGUGCGAAAGAGGGUCGCGGAAUUCCCGGUGUAGAGGUGAAAUUCGUAGAUAUCGGGAGGAACACCGGUGGCGAAGGCGGCGACCUGGGUCGACACUGACGCUGAGGCGCGAAAGCCAGGGGAGCAAACGGG
rnacentral:rRNA from 1 species